rnacentral:rRNA from 1 species
AUUCCGGUUGAUCCUGCCGGAGGCCAUUGCUAUCGGAGUCCGAUUUAGCCAUGCUAGUCGCACGAGUUUAGACUCGUGGCAUAUAGCUCAGUAACACGUGGCCAAACUACCCUACAGACCGCGAUAACCUCGGGAAACUGAGGCCAAUAGCGGAUAUAACUCUCAGGCUGGAGUGCCGAGAGUUAGAAACGUUCCGGCGCUGUAGGAUGUGGCUGCGGCCGAUUAGGUAGAUGGUGGGGUAACGGCCCACCAUGCCGAUAAUCGGUACAGGUUGUGAGAGCAAGAGCCUGGAGACGGUAUCUGAGACAAGAUACCGGGCCCUACGGGGCGCAGCAGGCGCGAAACCUUUACACUGCACGACAGUGCGAUAGGGGGACUCCGAGUGUGAGGGCAUAUAGCCCUCGCUUUUCUGUACCGUAAGGUGGUACAGGAACAAGGACUGGGCAAGACCGGUGCCAGCCGCCGCGGUAAUACCGGCAGUCCAAGUGAUGGCCGAUAUUAUUGGGCCUAAAGCGUCCGUAGCUUGCUGUGUAAGUCCAUUGGGAAAUCGACCAGCUCAACUGGUCGGCGUCCGGUGGAAACUACACAGCUUGGGGCCGAGAGACUCAACGGGUACGUCCGGGGUAGGAGUGAAAUCCUGUAAUCCUGGACGGACCACCAAUGGGGAAACCACGUUGAGAGACCGGACCCGACAGUGAGGGACGAAAGCCAGGGUCUCGAACCGGAUUAGAUACCCGGGUAGUCCUGGCUGUAAACAAUGCUCGCUAGGUAUGUCACGCGCCAUGAGCACGUGAUGUGCCGUAGUGAAGACGAUAAGCGAGCCGCCUGGGAAGUACGUCCGCAAGGAUGAAACUUAAAGGAAUUGGCGGGGGAGCACCACAACCGGAGGAGCCUGCGGUUUAAUUGGACUCAACGCCGGACAUCUCACCGGUCCCGACAGUAGUAAUGACAGUCAGGUUGACGACUUUACUCGACGCUACUGAGAGGA